UUUUAUUUUAAAAUCACGUCACAUUUUCUCUUAAACUCGCUGCAAACUUUUCUGUCAUCAGCAGGAAGUAGAGAGGCGCACGUGCUGCAGGCCUCAUCAUCAACGUCAUCAUCAUCAUCAUCAUCAUCACCUCGUGCUCGUUCCUCAAACUUUUCCACGUCUUAUCAGAUAUCAGAACAAUCUCUCUUCCUCCUCCUCGGCUCAGGUGUCAACUGUUGCACCUCGUCCACGUGUGUUUUCGCUGCAGCGCCCGGCGAGCAGCGCACAGGCCACACAUCGAGCGGAGUGGAGCGCGUGCAGCAGGUGAACACAGUUUUCAGGGACUACAGAGCCCAUGAGCACAGCCUGGACCUCCUCUGUGAUGGUGGUGAGGUUUUCCUUUAAUAAAUCUGGAGGAGGACGUGACAUGUUGGUGCAGAGCGACAGGCAGACGGAGAGAGAGAGAGAGAGACUCCACUCGUUCUUCAGCCUCCUCUCUGCUGUUAAAGGGACAGUUCCUGUGUUUCUCUCAGGAUGUCGGACGGUGAAUCAGCAGGAUCCAAACUGGUGUCAGUGGACUUUGAGAUCUUCGGUUACGUUCAGGGAGUCUGUUUCAGAAUGGUGAGUUUCUCCAGCAGCCGUCACAUUAAUAUAACAACAUUAAAUGUCUGUUUAACUGCAUUACACUCUGUCAUCCAUCUUACAUUGUUACAAUUAGUUUUCCUUUACAGAAAAAAAUACUUUUUUAGCUGACAACUUGUUUUAAAACAGAGAACAUGCUCCAUUAAAACGUGCAGAAUUAGCUGUUAGCACGUCCUGUUUGCAAUGAACCUGUGGAUGUUCAGAUAACUGUCACUUGCUUUCCUCUAUACUGAAGAAAACUUAAAAACAUGGAGUUUCUAAGGCAAGUUCUGCACAUGUGAGGAGCGUCUUUUUUAAGGAUUUCCAGGAGGAUUUAUGGAGCCAUCAUCUAUUACCGCCAUGCUGAUAUAAAGUCAAGUGAAUGCUGCAACACUGUUUUACUGUGAAACUCCAGAAAUGUUUUGUGGACUAUGA
rnacentral:lncRNA from 1 species